rnacentral:tRNA from 1 species
GCGCGCUUAGCUCAGUUGGCUAGAGCAUUCGACUGAUACUCGAAAGGCCCUAGGUUCGAAUCCUAGAGCGCGCAC